AUGACAAAUGACAUGAAACAAAUUUGUUUGGGAUGUCUUUGUAAUGACAACUUGACGUUAACCAGGAUGACAUUACCAGAAGAUGUAUUUUUCAUGACAACUGGACAUUAAAAUUUCUCAGGAGUGUCCUUGUCAAGACAAUUUGACAUUAAACAGGAUGACAUUGCUGUCAUAACAAAUACAUCUUCUGGUAAUGUCAUCCUGGCUAAUGUCAAGUUUUCAUCACAAAGACAUCCCAAACAAAUUCAAUGUCAACUUGUCAUGACCAAGACCACUUCGGGUAAUGUCACUUUGAUUAGUGUCAAACUGUCAUAACCAAGACAACAUCGGGUCAUGUCACUUGGAUCAAUGUCAAGUCUUCAUAGCCAAGACAACCCAAACAAUGUCAAUUUGACAUGA